CGACAAAGGCAAACCACUCGAAAGGGCGGGGCGCAAAACAAGGGGCCUUUCUUAGGUGGUAACAUCAAGGGCUUUCAAAUCUCAAACCGAAGGUCUGAUACCUAAGAAGGCCGCCCAGUUACCA
rnacentral:ncRNA from 1 species